UACGUAGGGGGCAAGCGUUGUCCGGAAUCAUUGGGCGUAAAGCGCGCGUAGGCGGCCCGGUAAGUCCGCUGUAAAAGUCCAGGGCUCAACCCUGGAAAGCCGGUGGAUACUGUCGGGCUAGAGUCCGGAAGAGGCGAGUGGAAUUCCUGGUGUAGCGGUGGAAUGCGCAGAUAUCAGGAGGAACACCGAUGGCGAAGGCGGCAUCCUGGACCGGCAUUGACGCUGAGGAGCGAAAGCCAGGGGAGCAAACGGG
rnacentral:rRNA from 1 species